AUUGAACGCUGGCGGCAGGCCUAACACAUGCAAGUCGAACGAGUGGCGGACGGGUGAGUAAUGUCUGGGAAACUGCCUGAUGGAGGGGGAUAACUACUGGAAACGGUAGCUAAUACCGCAUACACUCAGAUGUGACCCGAGGGGAUGAGCUAGUUGGUGGGGUAACGGCUCACAAAGGGGACGAUCCCUAGCUGGUCUGCGAGGAUGACCAGCCAGCCGGGAACAGAGAUACGGUCCAGACGCCUACGGGAGGCAGCAGUGGGUAAUAUUGCACAUUGGGCGAAAGCCUGAUGCAGCCAUGCCGCAGGUAUGAAGAAGGCCGUCGGGUUGUAAAGUACUUUCAGUGGGGAGGCGUUACCCGCAGAAGAAGCACCGGCUAACUCCGUGCAAGCAGCCGCGGUAAUAC
rnacentral:rRNA from 1 species